UAGGUCUUUCNCCUCAGAUGCUGUAGGC
rnacentral:piRNA from 1 species